ACCAAUAGUUGGUAGCUCUUUAUCUGGUUUCAAGAUGGCUUCUACAGCUAGUGUUGACUGCAUGCAAAAAAAAAAAAAUUCAAAUAAACCAAACUUAUAACAAACCAGGACCUCACCCAAAUGGUUAACCGGAAAGUAUUAUUUGAAUUCAUUGAUCCUCUUUUGGUUCGCGGGAAGCACUUUUCUUUCUAGGAAUAUGAUUCCUGGAAAACAAAUUCCUAAGAAGAGAAUGCCUAGGAAAGUACUUUUGGCAUGUUUGGUUGACAAUGGAAAAGUGACAAAUUUCAAAAGUGCUUAUGUUUGGUUAGCCAUCCACUUUCCUAGAAAAGUUAUAUAUAAUUUCUAUUAUGCCCUUAAUAAAAAUUAGGUCUUUAAUGCUUCUUUAAUGCUGAAGGGCCUUUUUUGGAAAAAGUAAAAAUGGAGUGAUUUCCGCCUCAUGGGAAAGUUACUUUUUCAUGUUUCUCAUUGGAAAGACUUUUCCAUGAAAUGUGGGAAUCAUAUUCUCAUGAGAAUACAACUUUUCCGUCUUUCUCCUUUGAAAACUUCAACCAAAUAAGAGGCAUCUCAUUACUUUCCCGUUGACCACACUUUACCCCCAUCUUUUUCCGCGAACCAAACGAGCCCUAUGAGUACCCAAGAUCCUGUAUUAUUUGAGUACCCAAGAUUUACCCAGUAAAUAACAGAUGUGAGACUAAACACACGCUCGCAUGAAUUCUCACAUACUUUUCCCAUUCAAGCCCGACGUUUUCGUCCAGCUAUGGUUCAAAUCAAUUCAAAUCUAAUUAUGAACACCACAAUCAGCCCAUGAUCAGUCCCAAUGAAUCCAUGCUGCAAUAUCCUCUAGUCCACAUAGGUUAUGGACCAGAUCCACUCUGAUACUAUCUGUAACAACCGAGAACCUCAUCU
rnacentral:lncRNA from 1 species